AUACGGAGGAUGCAAGCGUUAUCCGGAUUUAUUGGGUUUAAAGGGUGCGUAGGCGGGACUGUAAGUCAGGGGUGAAAUACUGCAGCUUAACUGUAGCGUUGCCUUUGAAACUGCCGUUCUUGAGUACAGUUGAGGAAGGCGGAAUGUGGUGUGUAGCGGUGAAAUGCAUAGAUAUACCACAGAACGCCGAUUGCGAAGGCAGCUUACUAAGCUGUUACUGACGCUGAGGCACGAAAGCGUGGGGAUCAAACAGGAUUAGAUACCCUGGUAGUCCACGCUGUAAACGAUGAUUACUGGUUGUUAGCGAUAUAUAGCUAGUGACUGAGCGAAAGCAUUAAGUAAUCCACCUGGGGAGUACGUCGGCAACGAUGAAACUCAAAUGAAUUGACGGGG
rnacentral:rRNA from 1 species